rnacentral:rRNA from 1 species
AUUGAACGCUGGCGGCAUGCCUUACACAUGCAAGUCGAACGGCAGCACGGGAGCAAUCCUGGUGGCGAGUGGCGAACGGGUGAGUAAUGUAUCGGAACGUACCAUUGAGUGGGGGAUAACGUAGCGAAAGUUACGCUAAUACCGCAUAUACCCUGAGGGGGAAAGCAGGGGAUCGCAAGACCUUGUGCUCUUUGAGCGGCCGAUAUCAGAUUAGCUAGUUGGUGAGGUAAAGGCUCACCAAGGCGACGAUCUGUAGCGGGUCUGAGAGGAUGAUCCGCCACACUGGAACUGAGACACGGUCCAGACUCCUACGGGAGGCAGCAGUGGGGAAUUUUGGACAAUGGGGGCAACCCUGAUCCAGCCAUGCCGCGUGAGUGAAGAAGGCCUUCGGGUUGUAAAGCUCUUUCGGCCGGGAGGAAAUCGCAUCAGUUAAUACCUGGUGUGGAUGACAGUACCGGAAUAAGAAGCACCGGCUAACUACGUGCCAGCAGCCGCCGUAA